CAACACGACUCUCGGCAACGGAUAUCUCGGCUCUCGCAUCGAUGAAGAACGUAGCAAAAUGCGAUACCUGGUGUGAAUUGCAGAAUCCCGUGAACCAUCGAGUUUUUGAACGCAAGUUGCGCCCGAGGCCUUCUGGUCGAGGGCACGCCUGCCUGGGCGUCACGU
rnacentral:rRNA from 2 species